rnacentral:lncRNA from 12 species
GACCUAACAGCAUCCCAGAGAUGGUCCCGUUCCACCCCUGGGGACUGCUGCCUUGCCUGUGAUUAAGCCCCCUCCUUACUGGCAGCAGGAGGCCUUGAUGGGUUGGGUCAUCAUCACCUGGCAUGUCACUAGGAGGCAUUUCCUAAGUUUCCUUCCAUCAUGGGAUGGAGAGGCACCUGAUUCUGAUCCCUUCUGUAUUUCUCCACAAGCAACUGAGAAAGAGCACCCCACUUGGGCACAAGUUGCAGAAGAACCUUUUGACUUUGAAACAAGCUUAGCAACAUUGGAGUCCGCUGCCUGGUCACACAGUGAUCUUCCAGCCGAGCAAAGGAGCCGUCAGGACACAGACAGGGAAGGUGAGGCCCAGUAGGACUGUGUGACCCGAGCAAGAGCCCACGGCCAGUUAGUGCGGCAGGGGGCCUGGCACCUGGAAUCCCAGUCAGCCCAGGCCAGCCAACACUUAGCUUGUAACGAUUUCACUGCUGUUCUCUCAAACUCGAAGCUCCACUAUAGGUUGUAAUUUAUCAUUUUGAUGAAACACAGGCUUUGAGGCGAACAUGUGGGAGUGAGUCCCUGGGCUGGCAAGCAACUACCCACAUCUCAAAGACGCUUUGAAGUUCUAGGCUCAUAGAGUACACAGUAAUAAUUCUUGUGAUGUAUCCCAGUUUUUCCAUUACAAAAAGUAGUUGAUGCUUCUGAUCAUGAGCAAAAAGUGGAGGUUCCUAUCGGCGAUAUGAAAUUUCAGACAAAUUAGCAUGGCAGGCUCAGUUCAGUGGUGAUGCAGAUCCAUGAUGUGAAAUGGUUUCAUGGACUGUCCUACAGCUUUGGCAAUCUGUCACAGAGGCGGAUGGGGAAAUGUUCGAGAAGGACAAGAACAGGGGUGCCUGGAUGGCUCCGUGGUUGAACAUCUGCCUUCAGCUCAGCUUGUGAUCUCGGGGUCCCGGGAUCAGGUCCCACACUGGGCUCCCUGCAUGGAGCCUGCUUUUCCCUCUGCCUGUGUCUCUGCCUCUCUCCCUGUGUGUCUCAGGAAUAAAUAAACCUUAAAAAAAAAAAAAAAGGACA